rnacentral:tRNA from 1 species
GGGGAUGUAUUUAAUUAUAAUAAUUGAAUUGCAAUCAAUAGGUGUUUACUUAACCAUCCUUA